UUGAAAAAGUAAGUUGCAUUC
rnacentral:piRNA from 1 species